rfam:Myotis davidii contig189541, whole genome shotgun sequence.
ACCGGCUCUCGGGUGACACACCCUGGAAUCAGGCUCCCUCCUCUCUGGCUCCGGGUGUGUCACCUAAGGACCGCA